UCUAAGGGGUGCUUCGGCUUUUGCCGUUGCUGAGAACAUACCCAAGAACCUGAUCCGGGUAAUGCCGGCGUAGGUAGGAUGCAAU
rnacentral:ncRNA from 1 species